CUCAGCUUUCUUGCUGCUUAAAAGUUUUAAAAACCUCCUCGCACCUAACUGCUUCAGUGCUUUUUGAACUUGAAGAAACUCUCUCUCGGCCGUUCUCAAGUCGCAGACAAUCCGAUUUAGUUCAACCCACCUAGUUAUUCUGUGGAGGGAAACCACUGGUUUGGGCCGUAGAAAGGAGGGCAGACUAUAGAAAUUCCGAUGAGCAAAGAUACACCACAGAAAGUCGCUCCUAAAUUGGUGACAUUGGGGAAAGCACUUCAAUUAGCUGAAUCAUGGGUUAAUAACAUGAGUGGAUCAACAAUGAAUGAAUCAACUGAAGUAGAAAAUGAGGGCCGACCUUCCAGACUUGGAUUGGGGUCCACAGCAAAAGUAUUGCGUCACUCAAAACUUGAAACUUCAACUGAUCCUGUGGAAAGAAAGUUACGUGCCAAGCUGGAUACUGAAAAAAGACGAGCAGCCAAAAAUAUGGAGGAAUCCAUCCUAUCUGAGAGAAAUGGUGGAUGCAGUGACGAGGAUGAUGAGAACUUAGAGAGCAGAACUAAUGCUUUUGGAAAGAAGAGGGUGGGCCAUGAGGCCUCACUUUUGCAGGCUAAAAAGAAACGAAAGUAACUGUCAGUCUGUCACAUGAAAGCUCCUUCUAGUUGUUGAUUGCAGGAUGAUAAUGAAGCGUGUUUGGGCGAGUAGAAAUGCCUGCCUGGUGCCUAGCUUUUGACUCCAUCCUGGUGGGCCCUGUUUGGUGCAUGUUGGUGGUGAUCUGUCAAUGCUGGGGAAACAUUUGAGAGCCUAUGGUGAUACUACUGAUGGACCUACGGCUCACUGUUGUACCAACUUCCAAACCAUUGAGGUUGAGCAUUUCUUUAAUAUUAAGCCAGCCUUGAGCCCAGUGGCAGGGCAAGCAAUGUGCUCAAAUUGGUUGGACCACUAUUUACUACAGCACAAUUUGGGGUGUCGUUUUAGGCUUUGGCAUUUUUUUUUUCAUACAAAAUUGUCUAAAGACUAAUGACAAAAACAGUUGUGUUAGGACUGGAUAUUAUUGUAAUAAUUUAUCCCGAAAAAACAACCAGCUUAAGGGCUGGUAGUUGCUCUAGCAUCAUUAAUUGGGUUGAAAUUGUUUA